rnacentral:rRNA from 1 species
UACGUAGGCAGCAAGCGUUGUUCGGAAUUACUGGGCGUAAAGAGUGUGUAGGCGGUGUUCUAAGUUCGGUGUGAAAUCUCCCGGCUCAACUGGGAGGGUGCGCCGAAAACUGGGAUGCUCGAGUGUGGGAGAGGAAAGCGGAAUUCCUGGUGUAGCGGUGAAAUGCGUAGAUAUCAGGAGGAACACCAGCGGUGUAGACGGCUUUCUGGACCAUUACUGACGCUGAGACACGAAAGCGUGGGUAGCAAACAGG